CACAGAGGUCUCAAGCGUUGUUCGGAUUCAUUGGGCGUAAAGGGUGUGUAGGUGGCGCGCUAAGUCGGGUGUGAAAUUUCGGAGCUUAACUCCGAAACUGCAUUCGAUACUGGCGUGCUUGAGGACUGGAGAGGAGACUGGAAUUCAUGGUGUAGCAGUGAAAUGCGUAGAGAUCAUGAGGAAGACCAGUGGCGAAGGCGGGUCUCUGGACAGUUCCUGACACUGAGACACGAAGGCCAGGGGAGCAAACGGG
rnacentral:rRNA from 1 species